rnacentral:rRNA from 1 species
UACAGAGGUCUCAAGCGUUGUUCGGAUUCAUUGGGCGUAAAGCGCACGUAGGCGGGUCGUUAAGUCAGGGGUGAAAUCCUGGAGCUCAACUCCAGAACUGCCUUUGAUACUGGGAAGCUUGAGUCCGGAAGAGGUGAGUGGAACUCCGAGUGUAGAGGUGAAAUUCGUAGAUAUUCGGAAGAACACCAGUGGCGAAGGCGGCUCACUGGUCCGGUACUGACGCUGAGGUGCGAAAGCGUGGGGAGCAAACAGG